GUAACACGUAUGCAACCUACCCUUUACUGGGGCAUAGCUCAGAGAAAUCUGAAUUAAUUCCCCAUAAUACAAUUGAAUGGCAUCAUUUGAUUAUUAAAGUUGAGGCGGUAAAGGAUGGGCAUGCGUUGCAUUAGCUAGUUGGUGAGGUAAUGGCUCACCAAGGCUACGAUGCAUAGGGGUUCUGAGAGGAUGAUCCCCCACACUGGUACUGAGACACGGACCAGACUCCUACGGGAGGCAGCAGUAGGGAAUAUUGGUCAAUGGACGCAAGUCUGAACCAGCCAUGCCGCGUGCAGGAAGACGGCCCUCUGGAUUGUAAACUGCUUUUAUAUGGGAAGAAACCUCAUUAUGCGUAAUGAACUGACGGUACCAUAUGAAUAAGGAUCGGCUAACUUCGUGCCAGCAGCCGCGGUAAGACGAAGGAUCCAAGCGUUGUCCGGAUUUACUGGGUUUAAAGGGUGCGUAGGCGGAAUUUUAAGUCAGUGGUGAAAGCCCUUCGCUCAACGAAGGAACUGCCAUUGAAACUGAAAUUCUUGAAUACGGUUGAGGUAGAUGGAAUAUAACAUGUAGCGGUGAAAUGCUUAGAUAUGUUAUAGAACACCGAUUGCGAAGGCAGUCUACUAAGCCGUGAUUGACGCUGAGGCA
rnacentral:rRNA from 1 species